AACCUUCUUUCAAUCAUUGGAAAUUUGGGUUGUUCCCAAAUUAUCAGCAUUAUAAGUAAUGGUGUGAUGUUGAACUUCUGAAUAAAACAUUUAUAUGUAUUUGAAAUCUUGCCCUUUCAUUAGUCUCUCAGUUCCAAGUUUGUCAAAAGGAUCGUCAUUUUGAUCUUUACUUCACUCUGUUGCUACCUUAGGGUAGUAAAGCUAAAAAACAAAGUACCAAGCAUACAAAUAAAAACCUAAAACAAAAAAACAACCCUAUAAUAAUAGCAGAAAAUGAUAACCUGUUUUAACUUCUAAUUCUUUUUUUUAAAUAUUUAUUUAUUUAUUUGAAAGGCAGAGUUACAGAGAAGCAGAGGCAGAGAGAGAGAGAAGUCUUCCAUCUACUGGUUCACCCUCUAGAUGGCCACAAUGGCUGGAGCUGUACCAAUCCAAAGCCAGGGGACUCCCCUGGGUCUCCCAUGCAGGUAUAGGGGCCUAAGGACUUAAGCCAUCCUCUACUGCCUUCCCAGGCUGUAGCAAAGAGGUAGAUUGGAAGUGGAGCAGCCAGGACUCAAAUCGGUGCCCAUGUGGGAUACUGGCACUACAGGAGGAGGCUUUACCCACUACAUCGCAGGGCCAGCCCCACUUCUAACUUUCUAGUGACCUUGAUCAAUGUUCUCUCUGUGUAAUUUCUAGGCAUUUACAUUUCCAGUUGUAUGAAUCUGUCUUGAAGUUUUGUUUAUGGAUUUUACUUUUUGAAGUAAUCAAAUAAAAAAGGAAUGUGUUUAACUACAAACAACAGAAGCUGGAAAAGAGCAACUUAAAUAAUAAGUUUGCCUUAUGCCACAAGAUAUCUAGGCUGUUAUGGAAUCUCAGCAUACUGUUUCUGUUUUUUACCUCCAACAUCCUCAUCAUGAGGCUUUUAUCUUCAUGCCUUUCACCUCUUGGUUGCAACAAAGCUGCUGCAUCUCCAGCUCUUCGAGGACUGCUAUGGCGGAGCUCAGCAGGUAAUCAGACAAUAACUACAAGGCACUGCUUCUCAAACUUUAUUGGGCACACACUUCAUGGGGUGAGAAUGGAAGUUGUGAAAAUACACAUUCUGAUUUAGCAGGCCUGGAGCUGGGGCAGGAUUCUGCAUUUCUCCCAAGAUUUCAGGUGCUACAGAUGCAGAUUGCUGGACUACACUUUUGAGUAGCAAAGUCCUACAGCUUCUUCCAAAAAUGAAAUUUUCAUAAUCCUCUGUGAACAAGGUAUCUGUGAAAUGAACAUGAUAGCUUACUACUCUUAGUCACUUAGCAGGAAACAUGAAUCUCAGGAUAUACAAAGUUUGAAUCCACUAAGUCAGAGGAAUUCCAUGUGAUUUAGAAAUUCAGUCAGCUUGCCAAGAGCAAAAUGAAGAACAUAAUUCAGAUGCGGAUGGAAACUUCUGAAGUCCAGAAGCCUUUGCUCUGACAUGCACUCUGAAUAGGGCUGUCCCCAUGCCAAGAUUGUACUAAAAGGUGAGCACGCCCAACCUGGAGAAAACAUGUGUCUCCAAGAAACCCUUGAACUCUUCCUCAAGAGGAGCCAGGCAACUCUGGAAGACCCAGUUAAUAACUUGGGCAUAUUACUUGAAAAGAAUAUUUAGGCCCCAUAAACACAUUAGACAUUAACUGGAAAAUAAACCAUAAAAGUAGUAAAACA
ensembl:lncRNA